rnacentral:tRNA from 1 species
UGCUCUAUAGCUUAGUUGGUUAAAGCGCCGACCUAGCGAUACGGAGUCGUGGGUUCGAAUCCCACCAAAACUA